rnacentral:lncRNA from 1 species
AGCCCUUUAUAUAUAAGAAAUUACACCGUCAUAGAAUAAUGAAAAGACUAAAGAAAGGAAAAACAAAUAUGGAAAGAGUACAAAUCAUAAUCUCUCCUCACGGUCAACUCUCUCUCUCUAGCAUUAAGUCGGUUAUGAACCGGGCCAGUUAUGGACAUCCACAAUAUGAUUUAUAACACUCCCCCUUGGAUGCCAUAACCAAACAGGGAUUGUAAUACGCUUUAGAUGUUGCCUCAUUAAAAUCUUACCAGGAAAACCCAGUGGGAUAAAACCAUGGUGAAGGAAA